rnacentral:rRNA from 1 species
GGAGUCCAACGUGCGCGCGAGUCAAUGGGCGCAUAAUAGAAACCCAAAGGCGGAGCGAAAGCGAAGGUCGGCAGGCGCGUUUCGGCGCGCCUUCCGACGGUUGGGAGGAUGGGCGACCGCACGUCUGUCGCCCCGCACUCCCGGGGCGUCUCGCCGAGGUAUCGGAGCGCGUUCGUCGGCGCGUCGCGGUUUCGGCCGCGCGCGCGUCGGCUCCCUUCGGUACCUGAGACGCACCCAUAGCGCGCACGCUGGGACCCGAAAGAUGGUGAACUAUGCCUGGUCAGGACGAAGUCAGGGGAAACCCUGAUGGAGGUCCGCAGCGAUUCUGACGUGCAAAUCGAUCGUCAGAACUGGGUAUAGGGGCGAAAGACCAAUCGAACCGUCUAGUAGCUGGUUCCCUCCGAAGUUUCCCUCAGGAUAGCUGGCGCUCGCAUCGAGAGAGUCUCAUGCGGUAAAGCGAAUGAUUAGAGCGAAUCGGGGUCGAAACGACCUCUACCUAUUCUCAAACUUUAAAUGUGUGAGAUCUCCGGCUUGCCCGAUUAACGAAGCCGCGAGAUCGGAUCUAGAGUGCCAAGUGGGCCAAUUUUGGUAAGCAGAACUGGCGCUGUGGGAUGAACCAAACGUUAAGUUAAAGCGCCCAAAUCGACGCUCAUGGGAAACCAUGAAAGGCGUUGGUAACUCAGGACAGCAGGACGGUGACCAUGGAA